rnacentral:rRNA from 1 species
AAUAGAGGGUUUGAUUAUGGCUCAGAUUGAACGCUGGCGGGAUGCUUUACACAUGCAAGUCGAACGGCAGCACGGACUUCGGUCUGGUGGCGAGUGGCGAACGGUGAGUAAUGUAUCGGAACGUGCUCUAGUAAAGGGAUAACUACGCGAAAGGUAGUUGCACAUCGCAGGCGUCACCCCUUCGGGGAAAGCGGGGGACCUUCGGGCCUCGCACUAUUAGAGCGGCCGAUAUCGGAUUAGCUAGUUGGUGGGGUAACGGCUCACUGGUUGGGCGACGAUCCGUAGCUGGUUUGAGAGGACGACCAGCCACACUGGGACUGAGACACGGCCCAGACUACGGAGGCAUGGUGGGGAAUUUCUUGGAUAAUGGGGGAAACCUCGAUCCAGCUACCUGCGUGUGCGAUGAAGGCCUUCGGGUUGUAAAGCAAUUUUGGCAGGAAGAAACGGCACGGGGAUAAUACCCCGUGCAACUGACGGUACCUGCAGAAUAAGCACCGGCUAACUACGUGCCAGCAGCCGCGGUAAUGCACGUAGGGUAAGCGUUAAUCGGAAUUACUGGGCGUAAAGCGUGCGCAGGCGGUUCGGAAGAAAGUGAUGGAAAUCCCAGAGCUUAACUUUGGGAACUGCAUUUUUAACUACCGAGCUAGAGUGUGUCAGAGGGAGGUGGAAUUCCGCGUGUAGCAGUAGAAAUGCGUAGAUAUGCGGGAGGAACACCGAUGGCGAAGGCAGCCUCCUGGGAUAACACUGACGCUCAUGCACGAAAGCGUGGGGAGCAAACAGGAUUAGAUACCCUGGUAGUCCACGCUCAAACGAUGUCAACUAGCUGCUGGGGCCUUCGGCCUUGGUAGCGCAGCUAAUCGCGAAGUUGACCGCCUGGGGAGUACGGUCGCAAGAUUAAACUCAAAGGACUACUUGGGACCUGUACAAGCGGUGGAUGAUGUGGAUUAAUUGAUGCAACGCGAAAAACCUUACCUACCCUUGACAUGUCUGGAAUCCCGAAGAGAUUUGGGAGUGCUCGCAAGAGAACCGGAACACAGGUGCUGCAGCGGUUGUCGUCAGCUCGCCGUGAGAUGUUAAGUUAAGUCCCGCAACGAGCGCAACCUUCGUCACACGAGCAGCAUGAAAGGGCACUCUCUAUCGAAUGUCGGUAUUAACGGGAGGAAGGUGGGAUACGUCAAGUCCUUAUGUACCUUAUGGGUAGGGCUUCACACGUCAUACAAUGGUCGGGACAGAGGGUCGCCAACCCGCGAGGGGGAGCCAAUCCUAGAAACCCGAUCGUAGUCCGAUCGCAGUCUGCAACUCGACUGCGCAAGCUCGAACGCUGGUAAUCGCGAUCAGCAUGUCGCGGUGAAUACGUUCCGGGUCUUGUACACACCGCCCGUCACUUACCAUGGGGAGGGGUUUUACCAGAAGUAGUUAGCUCAACCGUUAGAGGGCGAUUACCACGGUAGAUUCAUGACUGGGGUGAAGUCGUGACAAGGUAG